GUUCGCAGUGGCCACUGCCUCAGCAGGGACCCGCCAGGAGCGGAAGGAAUUGAACGCCCGCCCAUCUCAUCAGACUUGGCCGCUCCCUCCUACCCCUCCUCCUCGCCCUCCCCCAGCUCGCUGCCUCCUCCUCCCGGUCCCCACAGGCUCUGCCUCGGGACUUGGUGCCAGCGACUCUCUGAGCCAAGCUCGGGCUCAGUGCGCACAGAGCACAGCAGGGCUGACGCCCAGGGCUUGCUCUGAGAUGGCAGUGAAGUUAGGAGACCUCUGAAAGACACUGCGACCCUAGGCUGAGCUGGAGAGCCUUUUGCUCCUCCAGGCAGGGACAUGGGGGACCCGUCCUACAGCGAGAAGCCGCGACUGCACUACGCGGAAAGUGAUGUCUCUGCCUAAUCUAUAAACUAAGGGACAGUAGAUGGGUGAAGACCAAGGAGUCAAAAGGCAUAGAAGAUGGAAGAAAAGAAAUGAACUUCUACUAAGAACAGUAAUAAAAGAGACCCUGCAGAGUUAUGAAGAGAAUGGUAGAUAUUUUAACCGAAAGUUACAGAAUUUUUACCUUUUACAAUACAUCAUGCUUUGGAAACCUGGUUGCCAUUUUUGUUAUUAAACCAUCCUGUUCUCCAUGUUCCCAGCCACCUACAAAUGUACACACAUCAUUUUCGGCUUAAUAGGCUGCCAGGAUGCGUUCUUAAUUUUUGACUCAGAAGCCAGUGAUAAGACCUUUGACCAAUGAAUACAUAGCUUAUAGUUCUAUUGUAAGAUAAUUCUAUCAUAUUUUAGGUCAGGGAUUGAUAGCUAACAAAGUCCACACUCAAUGUUAAAACUAUUCAAAAGUCCCUUAGGGUGUUCAUUGUGCUAGCAGAACAAAAAAUAUUCAGCUAUGGAAUGUCAUUCCUAUAUCUGAUUCCUUCACUACUCUGUUGAAUUCCACAAUAGCUCCUCCCCAUAGCCCUCCAAAUGGCCAAUAGCUCUUAAAAACAUAAAACUCACCAAUGGGGCAUAUAAACAUGCACAAAGUCAAAUUAUGUUCAUUAGGGAAUUGUAAUAGAAAAUCACAAGAAAUACUAGUUUAUAACCACCAGGCUAGCAACAGUGAGAAAGAUAAUAAAAAGUGUUGGCUAGGAUGUGAAGAAAUUAGAACCUUCACAAACUGCUGGUGGGGAUUUCAAAUUGUAUAGCCAGUUUGGAAAAUAGUCUGUCAGUUCUGCAGUAGCUUAAACAUGGAGUUACUAUAUGAGCUCGUAGUAC
rnacentral:lncRNA from 1 species